rnacentral:rRNA from 1 species
GCGGAAGGAUGAUUAUUGAAUUUCCUAAGCUUUGUUUUUCAAGUCUGUGCUGCAAUCUUGUGUGCACGACUUGAGAGCAAAGURUGGGCUCUUCUUCAACCCACCUGUGCACUUUUUGUAGACUUUGGAUACCUAUCGAGUUAACAUCGGUCUGGGAGUUAGCUUUUUUGCUUUCUCUUACAUUUUCAAAGGAGACUUUGAUCAACCAUGCGAGUUAACAGUUAACACGGUUUGAGAGUCGCGGCUUGCUGCUUCUCUUACAUUUUCAAAGGAGACUUUGAUCAACCAUGCGAGUUAACCAUUCGGAUUUGAGAGUCGUUGGACAACAACUUCUCUUUACAUUUCCAAAGUCUAUGUAUAACUAUAUACACUUUUUAUAUAUAAUGAAUGUCCAUUGAUGUAAAUCUAUACAACUUUCAACAACGGAUCUCUUGGCUCUCGCAUCGAUGAAGAACGCAGCGAAACGCGAUAUGUAAUGUGAAUUGCAGAAUUCAGUGAAUCAUCGAAUCUUUGAACGCACCUUGCGCUCCUUGGUAUUCCGAGGAGCAUGCCUGUUUGAGUGUCAUUAAAUUCUCAACCCUUUUCUUAUUAUUAGAUAAAGGAGUUGGAUGUGGGAGUUGCUGGCAGUUCAUCUGUCGGCUCUUCUUAAAUGUAUUAGCAGAACUUUUUGGUUUCAUUCUCUAGUGUGAUAAUUAUCUACGCUAUUGUUUUGAAGUCAAAGAAAAAGGGUUCAGCUUCUAAUGGUCCAUUGAAUUGGACAAUAUCGAUUUAUCGACUAUUUGACCUCAAA